rnacentral:rRNA from 1 species
GGCCUUAGUGGCGCACGGGUGCGUAACGCGUGGGAAUCUGCCCUUUGGUUCGGAAUAACAGCUGGAAACGGCUGCUAAUACCGGAUGAUGACGAGAGUCCAAAGAUUUAUCGCCAGAGGAUGAGCCCGCGUUGGAUUAGGUAGUUGGUGGGGUAAAGGCCUACCAAGCCGACGAUCCAUAGCUGGUCUGAGAGGAUGAUCAGCCACACUGGGACUGAGACACGGCCCAGACUCCUACGGGAGGCAGCAGUGGGGAAUAUUGGACAAUGGGCGCAAGCCUGAUCCAGCAAUGCCGCGUGAGUGAUGAAGGCCCUAGGGUUGUAAAGCUCUUUUACCCGGGAAGAUAAUGACUGUACCGGGAGAAUAAGCCCCGGCUAACUCCGUGCCAGCAGCCGCGGUAAUACGGAGGGGGCUAGCGUUGUUCGGAAUUACUGGGCGUAAAGCGCACGUAGGCGGCUUUGUAAGUCAGAGGUGAAAGCCUGGAGCUCAACUCCAGAACUGCCUUUGAGACUGCAUCGCUUGAAUCCAGGAGAGGUCAGUGGAAUUCCGAGUGUAGAGGUGAAAUUCGUAGAUA